rnacentral:rRNA from 1 species
GCGGGGGCACGGGGGGAACGCGAAGAACCUUACCAGCCCUUGACAUCCCGAUCGCGGUUAGUGGAGACAGUAUCCUUCAGUUCGGCUGGAUCGGAGACAGGUGCUGCAUGGCUGUCGUCAGCUCGUGUCGUGAGAUGUUGGGUUAAGUCCCGCAACGAGCGCAACCCUCGCCUUUAGUUGCCAGCAUUCAGUUGGGCACUCUAAGGGGACUGCCGGUGAUAAGCCGAGAGGAAGGUGGGGAUGACGUCAAGUCUUCAUGGCCCUUACGGGCUGGGCUACACACGUGCUACAAUGGUGGUGACAGUGGGCAGCGAGCACGCGAGUGUGAGUUAAUCUCCAAAAGCCAUCUCAGUUCGGAUUGCACUCUGCAACUCGAGUGCAUGAAGUUGGAAUCGCUAGUAAUCGCGGAUCAGCUUGCAGUCGUUCUC